rnacentral:rRNA from 1 species
GAUGAACGCUGGCGGCGUGCCUAAUACAUGCAAGUCGAGCGAACAGACGAGGAGCUUGCUCCUCUGACGUUAGCGGCGGACGGGUGAAUAACACGUGGAUAACCUACCUAUAAGACUGGGAUAACUUCGGGAAACCGGAGCUAAUACCGGAUAAUAUAUUGAACCGCAUGGUUCAAUAGUGAAAGACGGUUUUGCUGUCACUUAUAGAUGGAUCCGCGCCGCAUUAGCUAGUUGGUAAGGUAACGGCUUACCAAGGCAACGAUGCGUAGCCGACCUGAGAGGGUGAUCGGCCACACUGGAACUGAGACACGGCCCAGACUCCUACGGGAGGCAGCAGUAGGGAAUCUUCCGCAAUGGGCGAAAGCCUGACGGAGCAACGCCGCGUGAGUGAUGAAGGUCUUCGGAUCGUAAAACUCUGUUAUUAGGGAAGAACAAAUGUGUAAGUAACUAUGCACGUCUUGACGGUACCUAAUCAGAAAGCCACGGCUAACUACGUG